rnacentral:sRNA from 1 species
AUUUUUCAAACCAACCUGUGAGAUAAGAAAAGCAGAUAUCAUUAAGGAAAACAAAUGUGCAGAGGUGAGGCAGCUGGGAGGGCCUGGGCAGGAUGGGGGACCCAGGUCCAGGCUUCUGCCCUGCUGCAGUUCCCAGUGGCAUCAGUCACCUCAGAAGGCUGGUGAUCCGAAGGGGCAGCGACUCAGGGUAGCUCAGGCCAUUCCCACAGCACCAGAGAGUUGGUAACGUAGGUCUCAAGGACACCAUUUUACAUGAAGGUUCUCCUGAAGGCAUCAGAAGCCUUGUAGAUAAAACCGUAACUGCUUUUCUAAUACUGGGGGGUGGAUUUUGCACACAAUUGUCUAGAGGGGGAAAACAGAUUGGGGAACCCUGACUUUCAUUUUUUCUAAGUCAAAGGUUUUCAUUGUUACUCCCAGGUGCCUUCGAAACAUCUGCAAGUUUUUAGUCUUGCUCAUCCCACUCUUCCUUUUACUAGCAGGUCUCUCCUUACGGGGCCAGGGCAAUUUCUUUUCGUUCUUGCCCGUGUUGAACUGGGCAAGCAUGCAUAGAACACAGCGGGUGGAUGACC